rnacentral:rRNA from 1 species
CCUAUGGGAGGCAGCAGUAAGGAAUAUUGGUCAAUGGACGCAAGUCUGAACCAGCCAUGCCGCGUGAAGGAUUAAGGUCCUCUGGAUUGUAAACUUCUUUUAUCUGGGACGAAAAAAGGCGAUUCUUCGUCACUUGACGGUACCAGAUGAAUAAGCACCGGCUAACUCCGUGCCAGCAGCCGCGGUAAUACGGAGGGUGCAAGCGUUAUCCGGAUUCACUGGGUUUAAAGGGUGCGUAGGCGGGCAGGUAAGUCAGUGGUGAAAUCCUAGAGCUUAACUCUAGAACUGCCAUUGAUACUAUCUGUCUUGAAUAUUGUGGAGGUAAGCGGAAUAUGUCAUGUAGCGGUGAAAUGCUUAGAUAUGACAUAGAACACCUAUUGCGAAGGCAGCUUACUACGCAUAUAUUGACGCUGAGGCACGAAAGCGUGGGGAUCAAACAGGAUUAGAUACCCUGGUAGUCCACGCCCUAAACCGAUGAUUACUCGACAUUUGUGAUACACUAUAAGUGUNUGAGNGAAGANAUAAGUAAUACACCGNGGAGACGACGCGAGUAGAACGUACAANAGAGUAGACGGACGNGAGAGNGCCGACGGACGACACGAGGGGAGGUUAGG